AAACUUCGAGAGGAAAAGGGUCUCUUUUGACCCUAUUCAUAUGUCAUACGCCGAACUCUACCCAUUUUUGGUUCUCAAGAACCUACUUCAACCAAGAAAUCUACCGCAAAUUCCCGAACCACUUCCAUGGUGGUAUAAGCCUGAACUCCAUGAUCACACUAAAAUUUACGUAUUUUCGACUCCGAUUCCACAUGCAUUCU
rnacentral:lncRNA from 1 species